rnacentral:rRNA from 1 species
AGAGUUUGAUCAUGGCUCAGGACGAACGCUGGCGGCGUGCCUAAUACAUGCAAGUCGAACGAAGCUUUCUUUCACCGAAUGCUUGCAUUCACCGAAAGAAGCUUAGUGGCGAACGGGUGAGUAACACGUAGGCAACCUGCCCAAAAGAGGGGGAUAACACUUGGAAACAGGUGCUAAUACCGCAUAACCAUGAACACCGCAUGAUGUUCGUGUAAAAGACGGCUUUUGCUGUCACUUUUGGAUGGGCCUGCGGCGUAUUAACUUGUUGGUGGGGUAACGGCCUACCAAGGUGAUGAUACGUAGCCGAACUGAGAGGUUGAUCGGCCACAUUGGGACUGAGACACGGCCCAAACUCCUACGGGAGGCAGCAGUAGGGAAUCUUCCACAAUGGACGAAAGUCUGAUGGAGCAACGCCGCGUGAAUGAAGAAGGCCUUCGGGUCGUAAAAUUCUGUUGUCAGAGAAGAAUGUGCGUGAGAGUAACUGUUCACGUAUUGACGGUAUCUGACCAGAAAGCCACGGCUAACUACGUGCCAGCAGCCGCGGUAAUACGUAGGUGGCAAGCGUUGUCCGGAUUUAUUGGGCGUAAAGGGAACGCAGGCGGUCUUUUAAGUCUGAUGUGAAAGCCUUCGGCUUAACCGAAGUAGUGCAUUGGAAACUGGAAGACUUGAGUGCAGAAGAGGAGAGUGGAACUCCAUGUGUAGCGGUGAAAUGCGUAGAUAUAUGGAAGAACACCAGUGGCGAAAGCGGCUCUCUGGUCUGUAACUGACGCUGAGGUUCGAAAGCGUGGGUAGCAAACAGGAUUAGAUACCCUGGUAGUCCACGCCGUAAACGAUGAGUGCUAAGUGUUGGAGGGUUUCCGCCCUUCAGUGCUGCAGCUAACGCAUUAAGCACUCCGCCUGGGGAGUACGGUCGCAAGACUGAAACUCAAAGGAAUUGACGGGGGCCCGCACAAGCGGUGGAGCAUGUGGUUUAAUUCGAAGCAACGCGAAGAACCUUACCAGGUCUUGACAUCUUCUGACAAUUCCAGAGAUGGAACGUUCCCUUCGGGGACAGAAUGACAGGUGGUGCAUGGUUGUCGUCAGCUCGUGUCGUGAGAUGUUGGGUUAAGUCCCGCAACGAGCGCAACCCUUAUUGUCAGUUGCCAUCAUUAAGUUGGGCACUCUGGCGAGACUGCCGGUGACAAACCGGAGGAAGGUGGGGAUGACGUCAAAUCAUCAUGCCCCUUAUGACCUGGGCUACACACGCGCUACAAUGGACGGUACAACGAGUCGCUAACUCGCGAGGGCAAGCUAAUCUCUUAAAGCCGUUCUCAGUUCGGAUUGCAGGCUGCAACUCGCCUGCAUGAAGUCGGAAUCGCUAGUAAUCGCGAAUCAGCAUGUCGCGGUGAAUACGUUCCCGGGCCUUGUACACACCGCCCGUCACACCAUGAGAGUUUGUAACACCCAAAGUCGGUGGGGUAACCUUUUGGAGCCAGCCGCCUAAGGUGGGACAGAUGAUUGGGGUGAAGUCGUAACAAGGUA